rnacentral:rRNA from 1 species
UACGUAGGGUGCAAGCGUUAAUCGGAAUUACUGGGCGUAAAGCGUGCGCAGGCGGUUUUGUAAGACAGAUGUGAAAUGCCCGGGCUUAACCUGGGAACUGCAUUUGUGACUGCAUAGCUAGAGUACGGUAGAGGGGGAUGGAAUUCCGGCGUGUAGGCAGUGGAAAUGCGUAGAUAUGACGGAGGAACACCGAUGGCGGAAGGGCAAUCCCCUGGACCUGUACUCGACGCUCAUGC